rnacentral:rRNA from 1 species
GAUGAACGCUGACAGAAUGCUUAACACAUGCAAGUCAACUUGAACUUCGGUUUGGGUGGCGGACGGGUGAGUAACGCGUAAAGAACUUACCUCACAGAUAGGGACAACAUUUGGAAACGAAUGCUAAUACCUGAUAUUAUGAUUUUAGGGCAUCCUAGGAUUAUGAAAGCUAUAUGCGCUGUGAGAGAGCUUUGCGUCCCAUUAGCUAGUUGGAGAGGUAACGGCUCACCAAGGCGAUGAUGGGUAGCCGGCCUGAGAGGGUGAUCGGCCACAAGGGGACUGAGACACGGCCCUUACUCCUACGGGAGGCAGCAGUGGGGAAUAUUGGACAAUGGACCAAGAGUCUGAUCCAGCAAUUCUGUGUGCACGAUGAAGUUUUUCGGAAUGUAAAGUGCUUUCAGUUGGGAAGAAAAAAAUGACAGUACCAACAGAAGAAGUGACGGCUAAAUACGUGCCGGCAGCCGCGGUAAUACGUAUGUCACAAGCGUUAUCCGGAUUUAUUGGGCGUAAAGCGCGUCUAGGUGGUUAUAUAAGUCUGAUGUGAAAAUGCAGGGCUCAACUCUGUAUUGCGUUGGAAACUGUGUAACUAGAGUACUGGAGAGGUAAGCGGAACUACAAGUGUAGAGGUGAAAUUCGUAGAUAUUUGUAGGAAUGCCGAUGGGGAAGCCAGCUUACUGGACAGAUACUGACGCUGAAGCGCGAAAGCGUGGGUAGCAAACAGG